rnacentral:rRNA from 1 species
GACGAACGCUGGCGGCGUGCUUAACACAUGCAAGUCGAACGGUAAGGCCCUUCGGGGUACACGAGUGGCGAACGGGUGAGUAACACGUGGGUGAUCUGCCCUGCACUUCGGGAUAAGCCUGGGAAACUGGGUCUAAUACCGGAUAGGACCACUGCCUGCAUGGGUGGUGGUGGAAAGCUUUUGCGGUGUGGGAUGGGCCCGCGGCCUAUCAGCUUGUUGGUGGGGUAAUGGCCCACCAAGGCGACGACGGGUAGCCGGCCUGAGAGGGUGACCGGCCACACUGGGACUGAGAUACGGCCCAGACUCCUACGGGAGGCAGCGGUGGGGAAUAUUGCACAAUGGGCGCAAGCCUGAUGCAGCGACGCCGCGUGAGGGAUGACGGCCUUCGGGUUGUAAACCUCUUUCAGCACCGACGAAGCGCAAGUGACGGUAGGUGCAGAAGAAGGACCGGCCAACUACGUGCCAGCCGCCGCAGUAAA